rnacentral:rRNA from 1 species
CAGGUGGUCAGGUCGAGUAGACCAAGGCGCUUGAGAGAACUCUGCUGAAGGAACUAGGCAAAAUGGUACCGUAACUUCGGGAGAAGGUACGCUGUUGUUGGUGAUGGAACUCGCUUCCUGAGCUGACGACAGCCGCAGAAACCAGGCCGCUGCAACUGUUUAUUAAAAACAUAGCACUCUGCAAACACGAAAGUGGACGUAUAGGGUGUGAUGCCUGCCCGGUGCUGGAAGGUUAAUUGAUGGGGUUAGCGUAAGCGAAGCUCUUGAUCGAAGCCCCAGUAAACGGCGGCCGUAACUAUAACGGUCCUAAGGUAGCGAAAUUCCUUGUCGGGUAAGUUCCGACCUGCACGAAUGGCAUAAUGAUGGCGGCGCUGUCUCCAGCAGAGGCUCAGUGAAAUCGAAAUCGCUGUGAAGAUGCAGUGUACCCGCGGCUAGACGGAAAGACCCCGUGAACCUUUACUGCAGCUUGACACUGAACUUUGACCUUACUUGUGUAGGAUAGGUGGGAGGCUUUGAAGCUGGAACGCUAGUUCCAGUGGAGCCGUCCUUGAAAUACCACCCUGGUAAUGUUGAGGUUCUAACUCUGUCCCGUGAUCCGGGACGAGGACCGUGUCUGGUGGGUAGUUUGACUGGGGCGGUCUCCUCCUAAAGAGUAACGGAGGAGUACGAAGGUGCGCUCAGCGUGGUCGGAAAUCACGCGUAGAGUAUAAAGGCAAAAGCGCGCUUAACUGCGAGACCCACAAGUCGAGCAGGUACGAAAGUAGGUCUUAGUGAUCCGGUGGUUCUGUAUGGAAGGGCCAUCGCUCAACGGAUAAAAGGUACUCUGGGGAUAACAGGCUGAUACCGCCCAAGAGUUCAUAUCGACGGCGGUGUUUGGCACCUCGAUGUCGGCUCAUCUCAUCCUGGGGCUGAAGCAGGUCCCAAGGGUAUGGCUGUUCGCCAUUUAAAGAGGUACGCGAGCUGGGUUUAGAACGUCGUGAGACAGUUCGGUCCCUAUCUACCGUGGGCGCUGGAAAUUUGAGAGGAUCUGCUCCUAGUACGAGAGGACCAGAGUGGACGAACCUCUGGUGUACCGGUUGUGACGCCAGUCGCAUCGCCGGGUAGCUAUGUUCGGAAGGGAUAACCGCUGAAAGCAUCUAAGCGGGAAGCCUACCUCAAGAUAAGAUUUCCCUAGGACUUUAUGUCCUCUAAAGAGCCGUUCGAGACUAGGACGUUGAUAGGUUGGAUGUGGAAGCAUAGUGAUAUGUGAAGCUGACCAAUACUAAUUGCUCGUGAGGCUUGACUAU